GAUUGAACGCUGGCGGCAGGCUUAACACAUGCAAGUCGAGCGGAGAGAGGUAGCUUGCUACUGAUYUUAGCGGCGGACGGGUGAGUAAUACUUAGGAAUCUGGCUAUUAGUGGGGGACAACAUUUCGAAAGGGAUGCUAAUACCGCAUACGUCCUACGGGAGAAAGCAGGGGAUCUUCGGACCUUGCGCUAAUAGAUGAGCCUAAGUCGGAUUAGCUAGUUGGUGGGGUAAAGGCCUACCAAGGCGACGAUCUGUAGCGGGUCUGAGAGGAUGAUCCGCCACACUGGGACUGAGACACGGCCCAGACUCCUACGGGAGGCAGCAGUGGGGAAUAUUGGACAAUGGGGGGAACCCUGAUCCAGCCAUGCCGCGUGUGUGAAGAAGGCCUUAUGGUUGUAAAGCACUUUAAGCGAGGAGGAGGGUACUGGUAUUAAUACUACCAGGUACUGGACGUUACUCGCAGAAUAA
rnacentral:rRNA from 1 species